rnacentral:rRNA from 1 species
AGAGUUUGAUCAUGGCUCAGGGCGAACGCUGGCGGCAGGCUUAACACAUGCAAGUCGAGCGGGCGUAGCAAUACGUCAGCGGCAGACGGGUGAGUAACGCGUGGGAACGUACCUUUUGGUUCGGAACAACACAGGGAAACUUGUGCUAAUACCGGAUAAGCCCUUACGGGGAAAGAUUUAUCGCCGAAAGAUCGGCCCGCGUCUGAUUAGCUAGUUGGUGUGGUAACGGCGCACCAAGGCGACGAUCAGUAGCUGGUCUGAGAGGAUGAUCAGCCACAUUGGGACUGAGACACGGCCCAAACUCCUACGGGAGGCAGCAGUGGGGAAUAUUGGACAAUGGGCGCAAGCCUGAUCCAGCCAUGCCGCGUGAGUGAUGAAGGCCCUAGGGUUGUAAAGCUCUUUUGUGCGGGAAGAUAAUGACGGUACCGCAAGAAUAAGCCCCGGCUAACUUCGUGCCAGCAGCCGCGGUAAUACGAAGGGGGCUAGCGUUGCUCGGAAUCACUGGGCGUAAAGGGUGCGUAGGCGGGUCUUUAAGUCAGGGGUGAAAUCCUGGAGCUCAACUCCAGAACUGCCUUUGAUACUGAGGAUCUUGAGUUCGGGAGAGGUGAGUGGAACUGCGAGUGUAGAGGUGAAAUUCGUAGAUAUUCGCAAAGAACACCAGUGGCGAAGGCGGCUCACUGGCCCGAUACUGACGCUGAGGCACGAAAGCGUGGGGAGCAAACAGGAUUAGAUACCCCCGUAGUCC